rnacentral:tRNA from 2 species
GCCCGCAUGACGAAAUUGGUAGACGUAACGGACUUAAAAUCCGUGGCCUUCGGGUGUGCCGGUUCGAGUCCGGCUGCGGGCACCA